GGUUAAGUGACUAAGCGUACACGGUGGAUGCCUAGGCAGUCAGAGGCGAUGAAGGGCGUGCUAAUCUGCGAAAAGCGUCGGUAAGGUGAUAUGAACCGUUAUAACCGGCGAUACCCGAAUGGGGAAACCCAGUGUGUUUCGACACACUAUCAUGUCAUGAAUACAUAGUGGCAUGAGGCGAACCGGGGGAACUGAAACAUCUAAGUACCCCGAGGAAAAGAAAUCAACCGAGAUUCCCCCAGUAGCGGCGAGCGAACGGGGAGGAGCCCAGAACCUGAAUCGGCUUGUGUGUUAGUGGAAGCGUCUGGAAAGUCGCGCAGCAAAGGGUGAUAGCCCCGUACACUAAAAUGCACAGGUCGUGAGUUCAAUGAGUAGGGCGGGACACGUGACAUCCUGUCUGAAUAUGGGGGGACCAUCCUCCAAGGCUAAAUACUCCUGACUGACCGAUAGUGAACCAGUACCGUGAGGGAAAGGCGAAAAGAACCCCGGCGAGGGGAGUGAAAUAGAACCUGAAACCGUGUACGUACAAGCAGUGGGAGCACCUUCGUGGUGUGACUGCGUACCUUUUGUAUAAUGGGUCAGCGACUUAUAUUUUGUAGCAAGGUUAACCGUAUAGGGGAGCCGUAGGGAAACCGAGUCUUAACUGGGCGAAUAGUUGCAAGGUAUAGACCCGAAACCCGGUGAUCUAGCCAUGGGCAGGUUGAAGGUUGGGUAACACUAACUGGAGGACCGAACCGACUAAUGUUGAAAAAUUAGCGGAUGACUUGUGGCUGGGGGUGAAAGGCCAAUCAAACCGGGAGAUAGCUGGUUCUCCCCGAAAGCUAUUUAGGUAGCGCCUCGUGAACUCAUCUUCGGGGGUAGAGCACUGUUUCGGCUAGGGGGCCAUCCCGGCUUACCAAACCGAUGCAAACUCCGAAUACCGAAGAAUGUUAUCACGGGAGACACACGGCGGGUGCUAACGUCCGUCGUGAAGAGGGAAACAACCCAGACCGCCAGCUAAGGUCCCAAAGUCAUGGUUAAGUGGGAAACGAUGUGGGAAGGCAUAGACAGCCAGGAUGUUGGCUUAGAAGCAGCCAUCAUUUAAAGAAAGCGUAAUAGCUCACUGGUCGAGUCGGCCUGCGCGGAAGAUGUAACGGGGCUAAACCAUGCACCGAAGCUGCGGCAGCGACGCUUAGCGUUGUUGGGUAGGGGAGCGUUCUGUAAGCCGUUGAAGGUGGCCUGUGAGGGUUGCUGGAGGUAUCAGAAGUGCGAAUGCUGACAUAAGUAACGAUAAAGCGGGUGAAAAGCCCGCUCGCCGGAAGACCAAGGGUUCCUGUCCAACGUUAAUCGGGGCAGGGUGAGUCGACCCCUAAGGCGAGGCUGAAAAGCGUAGUCGAUGGGAAACAGGUUAAUAUUCCUGUACUUGGUGUUACUGCGAAGGGGGGACGGAGAAGGCUAGGCUAGCCGGGCGACGGUUGUCCCGGUUUAAGCGUGUAGGGGGUGUGACCUGGUAAAUCCGGUUGCAUACUAACCCUGAGGCGUGAUGACGAUGCACUACGGUGCAGAAGUAGUUGAUGCCCUGCUUCCAGGAAAA
rnacentral:rRNA from 1 species